rnacentral:misc_RNA from 1 species
AGCAGCCGCGGUAAUUCCAGCUCCAAUAGCGUAUAUUAAAGUUGUUGCAGUUAAAAAGCUCGUAGUUGAAUUUCGGGGUCAGUAGAUUGGUCGUGCCACUGGUAUGUACUGGUCUUACUGGCUCCUCCUUCCUGAUGAACCGUAAUGCCAUUAAUUUGGUGUUGCGGGGAGACUGGACUGUUACUUUGAAAAAUUAGAGUGUUUAAAGCAGGCUAACGCUUGAAUACAUUAGCAUGGAAUAAUGAAAUAGGACGUUCGAUCUUAUUUUGUUGGUUUCUAAGAUUGACGUAAUGAUUAAUAGGGAUAGUUGGGGGCAUUAGUAUUCAAUUGUCAGAGGUGAAAUUCUUGGAUUUAUUGAAGACUAACUACUGCGAAAGCAUUUGCCAAGGAUGUUUUCAUUAAUCAAGAACGAAAGUUAGGGGAUCGAAGACGAUCAGAUACCGUCGUAGUCUUAACCAUAAACUAUAGCCGACUAGGGAUCGGAUGAUGUUAAUUUU